rnacentral:rRNA from 1 species
AUUGAACGCUGGCGGCAUGCUUUACACAUGCAAGUCGAACGGUAGCACGGGGGCAACCCUGGUGGCGAGUGGCGAACGGGUGAGUAAUGCAUCGGAACGUGCCCUGUCGUGGGGGAUAACACAUCGAAAGAUGUGCUAAUACCGCAUACGACCUGAGGGUGAAAGCGGGGGACCGUAAGGCCUCGCGCGAUAGGAGCGGCCGAUGUCUGAUUAGCUAGUUGGUGGGGUAAAGGCCUACCAAGGCGACGAUCAGUAGCUGGUCUGAGAGGACGACCAGCCACACUGGGACUGAGACACGGCCCAGACUCCUACGGGAGGCAGCAGUGGGGAAUUUUGGACAAUGGGGGCAACCCUGACCCAGCCAUGCCGCGUGCGGGAAGAAGGCCUUCGGGUUGUAAACCGCUUUUGGCAGGAACGAAACGGUGCGGGCGAAUACCCUGUGCUAAUGACGGUACCUGCAGAAUAAGCACCGGCUAACUACGUGCCAGCAGCCGCAGUAAUAC